UCAUUUUUUCUUUAUUAAAAUCAUAUCAUAAGAUUUUUUAUGCACAACUUUAAUAAUUUUUGUGGGUAUUCUAACUAAGAGUUGCAUUUCAAAGUAAUAAAAUUUCACCAUUUUUCUCGAUUUAAUAUGAGCAUUCUUCGUAUCUAGACUCAUCCCUCUUAGGACACACACACACACACCUCUUGUUCUAACAAUUCAAAUCAUAUGAACGUGAGAUUUUGAGGUCUAGAUACGAAGAAUUCUUGAAUAUUAUUUAUUUAGAUUAAUUUAAAAACAAAAAUAUAAAAAAGAAUUGUUGCAAAGAAGACAAGUUUAAGAUCGGUGGGUAAGCAGCAGUAUAUGUACAUGUACAGUCGGGUCCUCCGACUAUAAAACCGCAUCAUUUUCCCCAUUCCUCCACCGCACACGCAUUCCUCCCACUCCCGCUACGAUUUAGCCAUCGUACCAGACAGAUAUUGAAAUGACGUCGACCAGCCUUAGAAUCUUGCCGCAGUCUUCCACCAGGGUCUCAUGGCUACCACACCGCCCCCUCUCCACCACUUUCGGCGUCACCACCCUCUCCUUCCGCCGCCACCUCGACCAUCCCCGCAGCUUCGUUGUCCUCUCGAUGGAUGGGAAGCCGACGAUUCUCGUAGCCGAGAAGCUCGGAGAGGCGGGGCUGAAGCUCCUUGAAGAAUUCGCGAAUGUGGAUUGCUCGUAUAACCUCACCCCCGAGGACCUCUGCACCAAGAUCUCACUCUGCGAUGCGCUGAUUGUUAGGAGUGGGACUAAAGUGAGCCGGGAGGUGUUUGAGUCAUCCGCCGGGAGGCUGAAGGUCGUGGGAAGAGCCGGCGUUGGAAUUGAUAACGUGGAUCUGGGGGCGGCGACUGAGCAUGGAUGUCUUGUGGUGAAUGCGCCGACUGCUAACACCGUUGCCGCUGCGGAGCAUGGAAUCGCUCUGCUUACUGCCAUGGCGAGAAACAUUGCUCAAGCCGAUGCCUCCGUCAAAGCUGGUAAAUGGCUGAGGAGCAAAUAUGUUGGUGUAUCUCUUGUUGGUAAGACACUGGCGGUGAUGGGCUUUGGUAAGGUUGGAUCAGAAGUUGCUAGGCGUGCCAAGGGACUCGGUAUGCAUGUCAUUGCACACGAUCCGUAUGCCCCUGCUGACCGCGCUCGUGCAAUAGGUGUAGAGCUUGUGAGCUUUGAUAAAGCGAUUGCAUCAGCCGAUUUCAUCUCACUUCACAUGCCACUUGUUGCUGCUACAUCAAAAAUGCUAAAUGAUGAAACUUUUGCAAAGAUGAAAAAAGGUGUCAGAAUUAUUAAUGUUGCACGUGGUGGUGUGAUUGAUGAAGAAGCAUUGGUAAAGGCCAUUGAUGCCGGCAUUGUCGCCCAGGCAGCGCUUGAUGUAUUCACAGAAGAGCCACCAGCGAAGGACAGCAAGUUGGUACAAAGUGAGAAUGUAAUAGCAACUCCACAUCUUGGUGCCAGUACAAUGGAAGCUCAGGAAGGGGUCGCAAUUGAAAUAGCUGAAGCUGUUGUUGGAGCCUUGAAGGGGGAGCUUGCUGCGACAAAUGUUGUUAGUCGAAGUUAAGCUAUGGGCUUGCAGGAAGUUCUCACUGAGCUGAAGCCUUUUGUUGCUCUUGCUGAAAAACUUGGUAGACUUGCUGUCCAAUUAGUAGCAGGUGGUAGUGGCGUAAAAACGGUAAAAGUUACAUAUGCUUCUGCUAGAGCCCCAGAUGAUCUUGACACCAGGUUGCUCCGUGCCAUGAUUACCAAGGGUCUGAUUGAACCCAUCUCAAAUGUUUUUGUGAAUUUGGUAAAUGCUGACUUCAAUGUUAAACAGAGAGGAAUCCGCAUAACUGAAGAACGGGUUAUGCUGGAUGGUUCACCCGAAAGCCCACUCGAAUCAAUCCAAGUUCAAAUUGCCAAUGUGCAAUCUAAAUUUGCCAGUGCCAUUUCUGAUUCUGGCGAGAUUAAAGUGGAAGGUCGAGUUAAAGAUGGAAUUCCGCAUCUGACUAAGGUAGGGUCUUUCGAAGUGGAUGUCAGCUUGGAAGGCAGUAUCAUACUCUGCAGCCAAGUCGAUCAGCCAGGAAUGAUUGGAAAAGUCGGUAGCAUUUUGGGAGAGGAGAAUGUGAACGUGAGCUUUAUGAGUGUUGGAAGGAUAGCCCCGAGGAAGCAAGCUGUUAUGGCGAUUGGAGUUGAUGAGGAACCAAGCAAGAAAUCAUUGAAAAGGAUUGGUGAAGUCCCAGCUAUUGAGGAAUUUGUUUACCUUAAUCUGUAGUUCAUCUACCAUAUUCUGGAUCAUGUUUUCUCCCAAUUUUGACAACUUUUGUUGCAUUCUGUAGCAGCUUUAGCUCAGGAAAAUAAAUGAUUCAGCUACAGGAUUGAAUUAUGUAUUUCGUGGAGUGAUCAUUGUAUCAAAUUUUGAGAUGAGGAAUAUGCAUUUUUCUUUAUACGAUACAAGAAAGAAAAGCUUGCUACCUUAGCUCUAUCAAGAAGCAAGAUUGUGAACUGAUGAUUACUUCUGCUAGUCUGACGCUUGGCAAGAUCCUUCCU